rnacentral:rRNA from 1 species
CGUAAAGCGCGCGUAGGCGGUUCGUUAAGUCUGAUGUGAAAGCCCCCGGCUCAACCGGGGAGGGUCAUUGGAAACUGGCGGACUUGAGUGCAGAAGAGGAGAGUGGAAUUCCAUGUGUAGCGGUGAAAUGCGCAGAGAUAUGGAGGAACACCAGUGGCGAAGGCGGCUCUCUGGUCUGUAACUGACGCUGAGGUGCGAAAGCGUGGGGAUCAAACAGGAUUAGAUACCCUGGUAGUCCACGCCGUAAACGAUGAGUGCUAAGUGUUAGGGGGUUUCCGCCCCUUAGUGCUGCAGCUAACGCAUUAAGCACUCCGCCUGGGGAGUACGGCCGCAAGGUUGAAACUCAAGGGAAUUGACGGGGACCCGCACAAGCGGUGGAGCAUGUGGUUUAAUUCGAAGCAACGCGAAGAACCUUACCAAAUCUUGACAUCCUCUGACCACCCUGGAGACAGGGUUUCCCUUCGGGGCAGAGUGACAGGUGGUGCAUGGUUGUCGUCAGCUCGUGUCGUGGGAUGUUGGGUUAAGUCCCGCAACGAGCGCAACCCUUAUGACUAGUUGCCAGCAUUCAGUUGGGCACUCUAGUGAGACUGCCGGUGACAAACCGGAGGAAGGUGGGGAUGACGUCAAAUCAUCAUGCCCCUUAUGAUUUGGGCUACACACGUGCUACAAUGGGCAGGAACAAAGGGCAGCCAGACCGCAAGGUUGAGCGAAUCCCAUAAAACUGUUCUCAGUUCGGAUUGGAGUCUGCAACUCGACUCCAUGAAGCUGGAAUCGCUAGUAAUCGUGGAUC